UUGAAGCCUCUGCUAUAUUCUUAACUCCAAGGUUCUCUCCAGCUCAGAGGCCGGAGGGGAGGUGUGGUCUCCUUAGUUCAUCCCAAAGGCUGGAUGUAACACUCUAUCAAAUCCUGUGGGAGGUAUCCAAGACUUCAUCACAUUGAAUAACCAUGUAUUGGGGCGAUUCUCUGGUUCACAGCGUUAUUUCCCUCCUGAGGCUGUGUGCUCCACGGAGCCUCCGACCAGGCCGAUGUUCUAUUUAUAUUUCCAGCACUGGGCACAGCACUUGGUAAAUAACAGCUGCUCAACAGAGCGAGAGUCAUUCGUCGGAGCAGCCAUCUUUUCCAUUUGCAUGCCUCAGAUUCCAGUCAGGACACA